CCUACGGGAGGCAGCAGUGGGGAAUAUUGCGCAAUGGACGAAAGUCUGACGCAGCGACGCCGCGUGAGGGAUGAAGGUUUUCGGAUUGUAAACCUCUGUGGAGGGGGACGAUAAUGACGGUACCCCUUUAGGAAGCCACGGCUAACUACGUGCCAGCAGCCGCGGUAAUACGUAGGUGGCGAGCGUUGUCCGGAAUUACUGGGUGUAAAGGGAGUGUAGGCGGGAAAGCAAGUCAGAAGUGAAAACUAUGGGCUUAACCCAUAGCCUGCUUUUGAAACUGGUUUUCUUGAGUGAAGUAGAGGCAAGCGGAAUUCCUAGUGUAGCGGUGAAAUGUGUAGAUAUUAGGAGGAACACCAGUGGCGAAGGCGGCUUGCUGGGCUUUUACUGACGCUGAGGCUCGAAAGCGUGGGGAGCAAACAGGAUUAGAUACCCGAGUAGUC
rnacentral:rRNA from 1 species